GACGAACGCUGGCGGCGUGCUUAACACAUGCAAGUCGAACGGAAAGGCCCUGCUUGCAGGGUACUCGAGUGGCGAACGGGUGAGUAACACGUGGGUGAUCUGCCCUGCACUUCGGGAUAAGCCUGGGAAACUGGGUCUAAUACCGGAUAGGAGCCAUUUUUAGUGUGAUGGUUGGAAAGUUUUUUCGGUGUAGGAUGAGCUCGCGGCCUAUCAGCUUGUUGGUGGGGUAAUGGCCUACCAAGGCGGCGACGGGUAGCCGGCCUGAGAGGGUGGACGGCCACAUUGGGACUGAGAUACGGCCCAGACUCCUACGGGAGGCAGCAGUGGGGAAGAUUGCACAAUGGGCGCAAGCCUGAUGCAGCGACGCCGCGUGGGGGAUGACGGCCUUCGGGUUGUAAACUCCUUUCGCUAGGGACGAAGCUUUUUGUGACGGUACCUAGAUAAGAAGCACAGGCUAACUACGUG
rnacentral:rRNA from 1 species